UACGUAGGGGGCAAGCGUUGUCCGGAUUUAUUGGGCGUAAAGAGCGUGCAGGCGGCCUGAAAGGUCAGCUGUGAAAACUCGAGGCUCAACCUCGAGACGUCGGUUGAAACCAUCUGGCUAGAGUCCGGAAGAGGAGUGUGGAAUUCCCGGUGUAGCGGUGAAAUGCGCAGAUAUCGGGAAGAACACCCGUGGCGAAGGCGGCACUCUGGGACGGUACUGACGCUGAGACGCGAAAGCGUGGGGAGCGAACAGG
rnacentral:rRNA from 1 species